GAUGAACGCUGGCGGCGUGCCUAAUACAUGCAAGUCGAGCGAACAGACGAGGAGCUUGCUUCUCUGACGUUAGCGGCGGACGGGUGAGUAACACGUGGAUAACCUACCUAUAAGACUGGGAUAACUUCGGGAAACCGGAGCUAAUACCGGAUAAUAUAUUGAGCCGCAUGGUUCAAUAGUGAAAGACGGUUUUGCUGUCACUUAUAGAUGGAUCCGCGCCGCAUUAGCUAGUUGGUAAGGUAACGGCUUACCAAGGCAACGAUGCGUAGCCGACCUGAGAGGGUGAUCGGCCACACUGGAACUGAGACACGGUCCAGACUCCUACGGGAGGCAGCAGUAGGGAAUCUUCCGCAAUGGGCGAAAGCCUGACGGAGCAACGCCGCGUGAGUGAUGAAGGUCUUCGGAUCGUAAAACUCUGUUAUUAGGGAAGAACAAAUGUGUAAGUAACUAUGCACGUCUUGACGGUACCUAAUCAGAAAGCCACGGCUAACUACGUGCCAGCAGCCGCGGUAAUACGUAGGUGGCAAGCGUUAUCCGGAAUUAUUGGGCGUAAAGCGCGCGUAGGCGGUUUUUUAAGUCUGAUGUGAAAGCCCACGGCUCAACCGUGGAGGGUCAUUGGAAACUGGAAAACUUGAGUGCAGAAGAGGAAAGUGGAAUUCCAUGUGUAGCGGUGAAAUGCGCAGAGAUAUGGAGGAACACCAGUGGCGAAGGCGACUUUCUGGUCUGUAACUGACGCUGAUGUGCGAAAGCGUGGGGAUCAAACAGGAUUAGAUACCCUGGUAGUCCACGCCGUAAACGAUGAGUGCUAAGUGUUAGGGGGUUUCCGCCCCUUAGUGCUGCAGCUAACGCAUUAAGCACUCCGCCUGGGGAGUACGACCGCAAGGUUGAAACUCAAAGGAAUUGACGGGGACCCGCACAAGCGGUGGAGCAUGUGGUUUAAUUCGAAGCAACGCGAAGAACCUUACCAAAUCUUGACAUCCUCUGACCCCUCUAGAGAUAGAGUUUUCCCCUUCGGGGGACAGAGUGACAGGUGGUGCAUGGUUGUCGUCAGCUCGUGUCGUGAGAUGUUGGGUUAAGUCCCGCAACGAGCGCAACCCUUAAGCUUAGUUGCCAUCAUUAAGUUGGGCACUCUAAGUUGACUGCCGGUGACAAACCGGAGGAAGGUGGGGAUGACGUCAAAUCAUCAUGCCCCUUAUGAUUUGGGCUACACACGUGCUACAAUGGACAAUACAAAGGGCAGCGAAACCGCGAGGUCAAGCAAAUCCCAUAAAGUUGUUCUCAGUUCGGAUUGUAGUCUGCAACUCGACUAUAUGAAGCUGGAAUCGCUAGUAAUCGUAGAUCAGCAUGCUACGGUGAAUACGUUCCCGGGUCU
rnacentral:rRNA from 1 species